UUUUUUUUUUUUUUUUGUGCAAACAUUGGUUACAUUUUCUAGAUAUUUCUUUCUUCAAAUGAACCACAAAGAAAGAAAAGUUCAAUUUUUCGUAACGAUAAAACAAACAGCAAAAAAGAAGUAAAAAGAUUUGAAUCUUAGGUUGUCAAAGUGAAGGUAGGGUCAAACUUUUUAAUAUAAAACCCUGAAACACGAAAAUGGCUUUGCGAACCCACAUUAUCGACAUAUAUUAACAAGUAACGACUCCCAUUAUCAUCAAUUCUGGCUGUCAAUAUCGAAACCCUUUUUUUCUAAUUCAAAUUUUGAAGACCUUUCGUAACUUAAUUAUAGAUUAAGGAUUAGUGCAUACUAUUUCAUUAACUUUUGUUGGAGAUUUUUUUAGAAAACUAAUGAAAAGAUUCUAAAUAAUAUAACGUUCUUUUUCCUUUUUCUAAUAAUAUAAUGGUUAUUGAUUUUAAAAUACAAGAUAAUGUUUAAAAUUAAGAUAGUUAGAACUUUUAAUUGAAACAUUUGGUACUUAUUUUUUAGACUUUUUAAAGUACUAACAAUAAAUUAUUUUUGUUGUAAUUUUUCGGACAUGAUUUGUCCUUCCUCAUGUCGGGUUACGAUUUUGUAUGUUGGAUUCCAACUCAUGCUUAGUCAAAGAACGUUCAAGAUAUUCACUGCUCCUAACUUGUUUUCUAGAUAUUUUGUGCGUAAAGCAUUUGCUUCAUGAACUUUAGUCCUCGCAUGUUCACUAGUAUUAAAAAAACACUGAAGCUUCUUCGGUCGAUACUUAGUCAAAAACUCCAUCAGGUUCAACAAAUCCAGUUUCAAUAUUUGAUGAUAGUAUAAGCGAUCGAGUUAUGCCAUAGAUGUCUUCUUUUUCUGUAUUGGAGAUCGAUACUACCUACCAUUGGCAAGUUAGUUUGGUAUGUAUUCGUUUAGUGUCUACCCAUUUAUUCUACAACACGACAACGAGAAAAGACUGCCUUGACAAUGUUCUUAAUGUCAAAUUAAAAUUGGACUAUGUGACUAGACGAAUAAUCAAGUUUGGACGAUAAAGAGGUUGUUAGUUUCGUAAAUUUGGAUUAUGCCCAUGCAAAUGAUACUAGUUUAAUUUUGGUAUAAUUACCAAAAAUAUUUGAUGAAACAAAAAAAUUAUAUUUUAAAAUUAUUAUAACCAUAGAAACAUAUUGCAUUCCAAAUCGGAAAAAGGUUAUAGUUCUACAUAUAUCAUAUAUAUCAUCAAGCUUGUAAUCUUGGAGUUUGUAAUAGUAAAUAACUCAAAUUCGAUAUGACUUGUGUCUAAUUCAUGUGAGUUAUAUAUACAAUAUGCUUGGUUAUGUCCUACAUGGACCAUUCUUACGUCAAGCCGCAAUUGACGCACUUAAAAUACACUUGAGAGAAAGAAAAACUUAAACAAAUCGAAAUCAAAGCCUUACCAACAGCAAAUAAAGUUUUCAAACAACAAACUUGCCCAAGAAAAAAAAAAGUUUUUUAAACAAACUCUCAUGACCAACAUUAAGUUUUUGUUUUUCAACUUAGCUACUGUUCUCUAGAUUUGGAUCGACAUUAUCAUAUCUAUUGUCGCCAUAACGAAUUGAACUUGACUAUAAAAGUAUCUUACUCCUGUGAGAGAAAAAAAAUACGUUUAUCAAUCAAAUAUACAAUACCAAAUGAUUAGAGCUCAUAGUUUAGUUUACACUAAGUACCGUAGUACGUAGACAUUUUAUGACGGAUACAAAUAUCAUAUAUUUAGAAAAGUAAAUUAUGUUUUAUACUUGAAAGUAAAUAUUUAUUGAGAAAGUGAGUAAAGUAAAUGUAACCUUGAUACUAAAUUAUAAAGAAAUGUUAUGGAGUAAAUUUUGAAAUUAGAGUUACAAAAUACUAAAAGUUAAAUUAAAAAUUCUUAAAUGAUCAAGAUCACUUUGAAAUGCAUCAUUUUAAGUCAACACAAGCUAAAAAGUACUAAUAAUGACGUAUGAUGCGAUAAAUUAUCAACAGUGUAGUGUCAAGUUGUUAAUGAAUUAUUUAGAGUUGAAUUAUCAUUUAUAACAUAUUAUUGGUGCAUGACAAAGUUGUCUUUGGUGACCACAUAAUUGAUGGGAUUGGGAGCUGUGUUAUUGUCGAUUACAAAAAUAAACUUUGUUGUUUUUAUAGCAAUGCAAUUAGAACAAAAUUGCUAUAAUACUAAAGAGUUUGUUUACUUUUGAGGAAAAAGGUCAAGAAAUUGAGAAUGAUGGUUUUAAAUCCUUGAGUUGCAUAUUUUUCGACGACCCAUAUCUAAUGUUUUAAUUUCCAUCUUGAUUUGUCUUAUAACAAUAUCAAAGUUGAUUAAACAACAAGUUUCCAAAAUUAGCAUCACUAUAAAAAAAGAGUAUUCAAAUGACUUUGAUUGCAGCACAAAAUUUUCAACGACCCAUCUCCAAUUUUUUUAAAAAAAUCCAUCUUAAUUUUUCAUAUAAUAUAUGAAAGUAGAUUUAUCUCAAAUCAACAGGUUGGCAAAAUGAACAUCGCUAAUAUUCAACAAUCAAAUAGUAUACUCCUAUCUCAACCCCAUCCUCAAAUGCUAAAAAGGUUUGGUGUUCGCUGGUUCAAUACAUUUAUCAUGCUAAUUCAAAAAUGAUCAAGAGUGUAUUUAAUAGAAAUCGAUAGUUCAACCAACAUAACAAACUAUUUAAAUUAUAAUUAUCGUCUAUUAAUUUUCUUUUAAGACUUAAAAUAAUCUUUAUCAAUUUUUAUCAAUAUCAUCCACAAGUGUAAGACUAUAUUCAAUAACAUAUUUCAAAAGUCGAUUGAAAAAACAUUACAAACUUUAAUAUGAGACAACUUUAUUUAAAAAUUAUCAUAUGAUGAAUUGUUUAUUGAUGAUCACUUUUAUUAUGAGACAAAUAGUGGCCUAUAUCACGAAUUCACAUGAAUUUAUUAAUGAUGCUCUCUCUUGAGAGCUUGAAACAAAAAGAAGAAUCAGAAGAAUGGUUAUAAACGUUAGUAAAAAAAUGUAAAACAAAGUUUUUCAAACUGAUUUGCGCUCCAACGUUCGAAAACAAAAUUGGGAUCCUCGUGAAUUCAUCCAACGGUCACAAUUCUCCAUGUGAAUCUCUUCAAGACCUUUUGUGUAAAAAAAUUCAAAUCAAAAUUAUUCUCUUUUUCACCACUGCUUAUAAGUAAAGGUUGAUAAAUUUUUCAAGAUCCAACCAAAAGAGAGACUUAUUCCACCAAUUCCUAUUUUUUUUUUUUGAUUAAAGCGAAAAGAAAAUAACUUUUUGCAGCUCUUUUCUUUUUUUGUGAUAUCAUUAUAAUACCUUCCUGUCUAAGUGAAGGUACAAUAAUAAAACAGUUUCUGUUCACUCUACUUUAUCCCAAUUCGAGCCAAAGUUAACUCUUGUCAGAUCCUUUUGUCUGAACAAAAUAAAAAUCUUAUUUUUAACCAUUUUUCCGUUUAAACUGAUCAAAUCCCAAAAUGCAAAACCUGAAAUGGGUUUUGAUGAAUCUCUUGUUUGUUUCUGCUCUUGUUCGUAAUUUUGUUCUUUCAUCAUCACAACAAGUAAUCUGUUCAAGCCAAGACAGAGCAACACUUCUGGGUUUCAAGUCAAGCAUCAUCGAGGACACAACAGGAGUUCUUGAUUCAUGGGUUGGUAAAGAUUGUUGCAAUGGAGAUUGGGAAGGUGUUCAAUGCAAUCCAGCCACCGGAAAAGUCACCGGCUUGGUGUUACAAUCCGCCGUGAACGAGCCUACUCUCUACAUGAAAGGCACAUUAUCACCUUCUUUGGGUAAUCUCCGAUCUCUUGAGCUUUUGCUGAUUACUGGAAACAAAUUCAUCACUGGUUCAAUCCCCAACAGCUUCUCUAAUCUGACCAGUCUUCGUCAGCUCAUACUCGAUGAUAAUUCUCUCCAAGGCAAUGUUCUUUCUUCUUUAGGCCAUCUUCCAUUGUUGGAGAUUCUCUCUUUAGCUGGGAAUCGCUUCUCAGGUCUUGUCCCGGCGAGUUUUGGAAGCUUGAGACGUCUUACUACGAUGAAUUUGGCUCGAAACUCUUUCUCUGGUCCAAUCCCAGUGACUUUCAAGAACCUCCUCAAACUUGAGAAUCUUGAUCUCAGCUCCAAUUUGUUAUCUGGACCAAUCCCAGAUUUCAUAGGCCAGUUUCAGAAUUUAACCAAUCUUUAUCUCUCCAGCAACAGAUUCUCCGGGGUGUUACCAGUUUCUGUUUACAGCUUAAGGAAGCUUCAAACCAUGUCGUUGGAGCGUAAUGGUCUAACCGGACCACUCUCAGAUCGAUUCAGCUAUUUGAAGUCACUCACUAGCCUUCAGCUAAGCGGCAACAAGUUCAUCGGUCACAUUCCAGCAUCCAUUACAGGACUGCAGAAUCUUUGGUCUCUCAACCUCUCAAGAAACCUGUUCUCUGAUCCUCUGCCUGUUGUUGGAGCCAGAGGGUUCCCUUCUCUACUGUCCAUUGAUCUUUCCUACAACAACCUUAAUCUUGGAGCAAUUCCAAGCUGGAUCAGAGACAAGCAACUCUCAGAUAUCAACUUAGCUGGUUGCAAACUGAGAGGAACCUUUCCAAAGCUAACAAGACCAACCACCUUGACGUCGCUAGAUUUGUCUGACAACUUUCUCACAGGUGAUGUUUCAGCUUUCCUUACAAGUUUGACCAAUGUUCAGAAAGUGAAGCUCUCAAAGAACCAGCUCAGGUUCGAUCUCUCCAAGCUGAAGUUGCCAGAAGGAGUCGCGUCUAUUGAUCUGAGUUCAAAUCUAGUGACCGGGUCCCUUUCAAGCCUGAUAAACAACAAGACAAGCAGUUUCUUGGAAGAGAUCCAUCUCACCAACAACCAAAUCUCAGGGAGGAUUCCAGAUUUCGGAGAAAGCUUGAACCUGAAAGUUCUCAACAUAGGAAGCAACAAAAUCAGUGGACAAAUCCCAAGUUCAAUAUCAAACCUUGUUGAACUUGUGAGACUAGACAUCUCAAGGAAUCACAUAACAGGAGGCAUACCUCAAGCUAUAGGACAGCUAGCACAGCUCAAAUGGCUUGAUCUCUCGAUCAAUGCACUUACAGGAAGGAUCCCGGAUAGCUUAUUGAACAUCAAGACGAUCAAACAUGCGAGUUUCAGAGCCAACAGAUUGUGUGGACAGAUUCCACAAGGAAGACCAUUCAACAUCUUUCCUGCAGCUGCUUAUCUGCAUAACCUUUGCUUGUGUGGUAAGCCAUUACCAGCUUGUAGGAAGACAAUGAAGUGAAAACCAAACACAAGUUCUCAAGUGGCCAGUCCAACGCUGACUUUUAUCUUAAUCCCCUAUUACUUUUACGUCAUUUCUUCAAAAAAAAUAGAUGAUAUCUUCUAUUUGUCUUUUUUACUCUUUUCUUACAAUUCUAUUGUUUCAAUCUGAUUCUGUUUUCAUCUAAAUAAAUUAUUAUCAUUUUUAAUCAACCAGCAAAACACAAAGGAUAGAAAGAGGACAGCCCAUAAAUUAUGAAGAAAAUAAAACAUAAUUCCUCAUUAGCAUAAUUGUUCUCCAGUGACAUGUUAUAUUCAGCCUUAAGUUGAGCAGCUUUAACCAGAUAAACUUUCUUCUUCUAAAUGAUCAAAGAACACAAACAAGAGUGACAAACGCAGUAAACAAAUCACAAUGAAACUUAUUUCUUGCUCGUGGAAUCGAUUCGAUUAUAAUGGGUUUUAAGAGACUCUCGUUGAGAAGAAAAAGGAGCAAAUUAAGAGGGAAAGAAACUAAACUUGUUUUCUUCUUAUAGUAGUUAUAACAUAAAUGGGCCAAACCUACGUACUAAUGUCAACUCGUAUGGGCUUUUAAGCCCAUAUUCGUAUCAGUCUGUUUUUGUAUACUACCUUAAAUCCAUUUCAAUAAGAUUAAAGACCCCCCAAGAACAACUGAACAAGCAUAACUAACAUAUUUAGUAGUCGUCACCCAAAAUCUUUACUUUUUUACUUGAGCUACUUUGUUGUGGUCAAUUGUCAUCAUCUGUUUCCUUAACUUCAUUGUCCUCAGCAUCAUCAGAAUCAUCAGCUUGUUCCUCCACGGUAUCCUCAUCCUCAUCCUGAAAAAAUCAUCAUCUUAACACUCAAAGAUGUAAUAGAAAGGAUAAAUAAAGGACAAGCCAUUGACUAUGAAACUCCUACUUCCUCAUCAGCAGCUUUAUCGAGAUAAUCUUUCUUCUCCUAAAUGACCAAAGAAGACAGAGUAAGAAGAAGAGACAGUAAACAAAUCACACCAUGAAACUUAACUAAUGAAGAAACAACUCACAUCCUCAGUCAUAGACUUCCACAUUUCCCAACCGAUCUUUGAACCCUACAAAUCAUAUAUAUAUAUACAUAGCAAAGUUUAGUAAAAUCUCAUAAACACUAAACAUAGUAGUAGUCAAAGCAUAGCAAUAAGCUCAGUUUAAAAAGUCUUACUUCUUUCACCAAUGCACCAUUAUAAUCUGUUCUAAAAGAUUUACGGAAAUGAUUCCUGCAAAGUGAAAGGGCAACAUCCAUCAACAUCAUCCCUAAAGAAGAGUAAGUGUUAAACAAUGAACAACAACAUUACAUGAAGACAGCAAAAUCGGUAAGAGAUGUUGUUGACUUCUUCCUGAAAACAAACACACACACACAAUAACAUGAGGGAUUCAAAAUCACCAUAUAGAAACAAUACAAUCAAGUCAUAGGUAAGGCUUAAAAAAGGAGCUUUUUUUUUUUACUUGUUUGUAGGUUUCUUCUUAGCCUGAGUUUGUGUCCCAAAACCUCGAGCUGCUGUACAACCAAAUCCAUAGAGAUUAUGAAAACACAAAAACAGGGAAAAGAGGGGAAAAAACGAAAGAGAUAAUGAUUAGAUUACCCAGAGUCCUAUGGAACAUAGCAUAACAAAUGUGCAUCCUUACAAGCUCUACAGGUAUUUUCUUGUUACAGUCUACGUCUUCACUGAAUUUUCAACAACAAAAAAAAAACAAAAACUUGUGAGAAGCCCUAGAAAUCCCAAUCGCUAAAUCUUUGUAACAAAACCCUAAUUCGAACAAAAUUAGAAACACAAAUCCGAUUUCAAAAAAGUUUUCAACGAAGAAGAAGAAAUCACCAGCGAGCGAAAAUACUGCUAUCCUCAGACGAUGCGCCGGACAUAUCUUACUCUCUUCUCGGUCUCGUAAGAUCCACGAAAAGAGAAAUGUUUCCUCACUCGAGGAAUCGAUUUGAUGACAAGCAAGGGUUUAGAGACUUCCCCUCUCUCUGCUGGGGAGAAGAAAAAGAAAGUAAAAAUGGAGACUUUGGAAAAAAGGAGUAAAUUUUUUACCUUUUUCUUACCAUUCUGUUAUUUUAUUUUAUUGUCCUUUGUUAAAAUAACAUUUGUUUUUUUAUAGGACAAAAAUGCCUCUUUGAUUUGAUUUACUGUUGGGCAAAAUAUUUGUUGGAUUCGCUUCCAUCUACUAUUCGACUCGAUUUGAUUUAGAAAAAAUCGUAUAUCUGUAAAUUUAUGAAACAAAUCAAAUACUAAAAAUAGAUAUUCGUUUUUUCUUACUUAAAUCUUCUCAACUAGAUGUUUGAUAGUCACCAUAUGACAUUCUUUUUUCUAUGAAUGUAAAGAUUUGUAAGACUUUGAAAAUUUUAGAUAAUAUAACAACUUGUAAAAUAAGAUUAGUGGAUAUGGAUGUGAAACCAGUAGCGUAAGCCGCCUUCAUAAUCAUGUAAUCUCAACAAUGUCAUUGUGCUUGGUCAACCAUGAACACUCUUAUCGAUAAAUCCAAUGAGUUUAGAGGGUCGUGUUGGAGCCUCACCAUGACGUCUCAUGUUUCCUUCUCACCAUAUACUAUCAUCUUUAGCGUGACGUAAUGUAGUCGUAGAGGUGUUGCUGCUAUUUUCCACUUGGACUCUCUUCCUCGGCUUUGCUGCAUUUGAAUUCGUCCAAGGACUAGCCAUAUCUUCACUUUAUAUGACUUGUUUAUAUUCUGCCUUUAGUUGAGCAGCUUUAUCCAAAUAAACUUUCUUCUCCUAAAUGGUCAGAGAACACGAACCAUAGUAAGAAGACAGUAAACAAAUCACCAUAAAACUAAUGAAGAAACAAGAAAUUAAAUAAAGCAACUCAGAGCAAGACCAUUGGUAAGUCCUUAUAAAGGAAUCCUUACAUUUGUAUAAUAAUAAAUUUUGAAAAUUUUAAAGUUUAGAGUUUUUGUAGAGUCUUUACAUUUUUUACUGUCCAGUGGUAGAAUCCUUAAGUGAAUUUUUUUUUUAAAAAAAACCAGUCAUUUUGGAUGAAGAACUUGCCAUUUUGGAUGAACUAGUAUUUUGAUGAAAUUAAAUAGGUUUUAGCUUUGUAUUGGAGUUUGUGUACUUUACUUGUUCGGUUUCUUCAUUCUAUUUACUUGAGGUGUGUGUGAUUAUUUCUACUUUUGGGUUUGUUGACAUAUGUCAUAACUCAGUGGCUUCUCUUUUGGAUGUUAUGUGUUCGCAUGCUUCAGAGAAGCCUUUUGGUACGUCAAAAUCAAAUGCUACAUGGUCAUGUAACAAGGAGUAAGUAUAUUAUAGAAGGAUCUCAUACAGCAAACCCAUUAACAUCAUUACAUUAAUAUCUAAAGCGUACAACAAUCACUAAUUUACUAUGUACACACGCUUCUGUCAUAAGAGUUUGGAAUGUGACAGAUACAUAACCACAAACCAAAUGAAUAAGGAAAGAGUCUUUACAGAUCCGAGUCUUGCCAGCUAGCCAAGCAGAGUUCAUGUAAUUCAUUGAGUAUCCAUUCCUCACCAUUGUGACCACCAAGGACCAAUACUCUAGUUCCUCCAACAACGCAUGUGCUAUGUCCCCAAGCUAACUUGGGUGGUUUCCCUGGGACAUUCAGGAUCCUCCAUGACGGUUUCUCUUUUGAAGGAUCUAUUAGGAAUAGUUGCGAAGGAGAGUGAAGCCCUGCAAUAGACCCUCUAAGAUGAUGACCCUACCACACGGCAUUCUCACAACCACAUUAAAGACUUGCACAAACCUGAAUGUUGAAAAGAUGAGAAAGGUAACAUCUUGAGAUACCAAAGGCCUAAGAAAAAGAAGCACUUGCCUCAACAAGUCUCACCUUCAACAGAUUCCAUCUCGUGUUUGGUUUCCCAAUCACCUAGAAGACCAAGUAACACCAUUUUCCAUUAGUUGAUACAUCUUUUCAGAGGAAUUUCAUCGAACACAUUCAAGUCACAAACCACAGCAGAUAUCAAAAAUAAGAAAUUUUUGAAAACCACACAAAGUGUAAUGAUGAGAUGGAAUUGUUACCUCCUCAGACAAUGUUGAGGCCGAAGAAGAGGAGGAUACGAAAAAGAUCACAACCUAGACCCGUUUUGUCAGGACAAUUGAUGGUUAUAACACUCGGGUCACCUUCUUUCUCCGAUUGACUGAUUAUCACUACGUUGUCCGAAAAAUUCCCAUCUUGUGAUUGUGAUUUAUUCUUGCUUUAAGCUCUAAUUGUGAUUUCUUCCUCAAAACUAUCUUAUUAAUCUUCUCUCUCCGAUUUGGUUCAUCAAAAUCGCCGAUUAUGUUCGAAGUCACAGAUGUUGAGACCGUCGGUUGAGAUGAUGAUCACGGCGGAAGGGGGACGAUUUUCUUCGGUUAUCUUCUCCAAUUUGAUGAUGUGGACGCCGCAUGAAGCUGAUCGAGAGAGAAUUCAUCCGGAGAAAACAAGAGAAGAGAGACAAUGAUUUCGCAAACAGAGGAAAGAAAAAAAAUUGUUUUGUCUCUUACCUUACCCAAUGGGAAACCACCACGUAUACGCACCUAAAACAUCACAAAAUACCUAAGCUAAGGUGCGUACCUUGAUUAAUUUCAUUUUUCUGAUUUAAUUUUGGCUUCUUUUUGUAAGGAUUCAGUACUAGAAACUCUUAAGGACCCUCCAAUGGAGGUGGUCUCACAUCCUUAGUCAUAGAGUUCCACUGUUCAACACCGAACUUUGCAACCUACAAUAGCACAGUUUAGUAAAUCACAUAAACACUAAACAUAGUAGUCAAAGCAUAGCAAUGAGCAAAGUUAAAAGUCAUACAUCCUUAAUGAGAGUACCAAGAUAAUCUUGUCUAAAAGAUUUACGGAAACCAUUCCUGCAAAGUGAAAGAGCAACAUCCAUCAGCAUCAUCCCUAAAGAGUAUACAACUUAUAUCAACAAAAAGUAAGUAUGAAACGAUGAACAUUACAUGAAGAUACAGAAGGCGGUAAGAGGUGGCUUGGCCUUUCUACGCCUCAUUGGUUCAUGUUCAUCAGAUUCUGUCUCAACAUCUGAAGCUUCUGAACAACAAACACAACAACCAAAUCCACAGAGAUUAUGAUAACACUGAAAACACAAAAUACAGUAAGGAGGGGAAACAACAAAAGAGAUGAUGAUUACCUGGAUACUCCGAACAAAAAAUCAAGGCUACACAUGUGAAUGCUUAUAAGCUCUACAUGAACUUUCUGGUUACAUUUUUCACUGAAUUUUCAACCCAAAAAAAAAGUUGUGAGAAGCCUUGGAAAUCCCAAUCGGUAAACCCUAAACCGAACAAAAAUUCGACUGAAAAUAGAUCCAAAGAAGAAGAAAUCACCAGCGAGUGAAGAUAGCACUGCCAUCUUUAGAGGUGUUGCUGCUACUUUCCGUUUCGCCUGACAUAUCUUACUUUUCUCUGUCUUCUGAGAGAAUUCUGACUCCAGCAAGGGUUAGGAUUUUUAUUCGAUGACAAGGGUUUUAUAGACUCUGGUGGAAGGAAAAAAAAAAGUAAAUUUGUUGAAAUUAAAAAAGAUUUGCGUAAUGCGUGGGCUACAAGAAAGUGGUAUAAAAUAGUUGUGACUCCGAAAUAUUCGUUAACUGUAUGGUUGUGAACCGACUAAAUAUGGGCGAUAAAAUGUGUGCUUGGAUGUGGGUGUGGAUGCUAGAUGUGUUUUUCUGUCAAGAUCCUAUGGAGACUCCGAAAUAUCAUGUUGUUACUCAUCACAGAUAUGGGAAGUGAUAUCUCAAAGCAUCUUAGCUCAUCGCUAUACACAUGUUCAGUGUAAUUCUCUCCUUAAUCUCCGACUCUACAUACAGCCACACACCUCGUUUUCGUUUGAGGUAUGUAUAUCCAUGUAAAUCAUAAGCUCUAGCCUCUUCUAUAACCGUAAAAUUGGCUUUAGCUGCUUCAGUUCUUUUUAAUGCUAAGGUAGAGUUGAAUUACGCAGCUGUUUCUUGCCAGAUAGAGUCAACGUUAGGCAAGAAUUCCUCCAUUGAUGGGUUAGCCAUUAGUAAACUUGAAAGUGAUAGACCUACAUCCACACCUGCGUCAAUCAGACAAUACAAAGAAGGGAAGAUCUGCAUCUGAUCAUCAUUAAUAUAGGAAUAUUUUAUACCCAACCAGCAAAACACACAAGUCACAAGCAAAGGAUUCGAAACCAAACGUGACUUUUAAGUCUACAGCAUUAGUAAAACGAAAAACAUAGCUUCAUUACUUGUUUAAACAAAAGGCAUUACCAUUUCAGUGAACUACAAAAAACCCACUUGCUCACAACUUAACUUCAAAUAAACUACUUUCACUAAUAAAGGCUUCAUUUACAAUGCAUCGCAACGAUUAGAGAUAAACCGAUUUCAGUAAGACUAGAACCACAAAAACGAGCAUAUCAUUUCUAGUAGUCAUCCAAAAUCUCUUCUUCCUCCUCUUCUUUACCCUCAGCUUCUUUCUUGUCAUCAUCUGUGUUCUCAACUUCUUUCUCCUCAACUUCAUCAUCAUCGUCAACUUGUUUCUCCUCAGCAUCAUCAACAUCAUCAGAUUGCUUCUCCUCAUCUUCCUCCUGAAAAAGUCAUCGAAUCAUCUCAACACUAAAGAUUUCAUUUAGUAAGUGAAACACUGCCCAUUAAUUAUGAAACACAUACUUCCUCAUCAGCAUCAUUACUUUCCAGUGACUUGUUAUACUCUGCCUUAAGUUCAGCAGCUUUAUCCAGAUAAACUUUCUUCUCCUAAAUGAUCAAAGAACACAAACCAGAGUAAGAACACAGUAAACAAAUCACCAUGACACUAAUGAAGAAACACGAAAAUAAAACAACUCACUUCCUCAGUCAAAGACUUCCACUUCUCACCACCGAUCUUUGCAGCCUACAAUCAUAUAUAUACAUAGCCCAGAUUAGUAAAUCUCAUAAACACUAAACAUAGUACUCAAAUCAUAGUAAUGAGCUCGGUUCAAGUCUUACAUCCUUAGCUAACGAACCAUUAUGCUCUGACUUAAACGUUUUACGGAAGUCACUCCUGUAAAGUAAAAGGUUAACAUCAGCAUCAACCCUAGAGACUAUAUCACAAUCUAAAAAAAGCAAGUAUGAACAAAAAACAUUACAUGAAGAUAAAGAAAGCGGUAAGAGGUCGCUUGGGCUUGUUUGAAGUAGACGAGCUCUUCUUCUCAUCAUUGGUUUUCUUAAGUCUCUUUGGCUUAGGUCCAUCAGAUGUUGUCUUCUUCCUGGAACAAAAACAAACAUUCAAAUAAUUCAAUAUCACAUACAGAAACUAUACAAUCAAGUCUUGACGAGUCUUACUUCUCUGCAGGCUUCUUCUUAGCCUCUGCUUGUGUCUCCACAACUUGUGCUUCUGAACAACAACAACAACAACAACCAAAUACACAGAGACUAUGAGACGAUGAAACACACAAUACAAUAAGAAGGGGGGAAAACCAAAGAGAUGAUUACCGAGAUUCACUCUGAUCUUAGCAUCGAGACUGCAAUUGUGCAUGCUUAUAAGCGCUACAGCUACACUCUUGUUACAUCCUUCACUGUAAUCGAUUCAAUCCACAGAAAACUUAUGAGAAACCCAAUCGUUAAAGCUGUAAAACCCUAAUAAAUCUGAAAUAAAAACCUAGAUCUCUAAAUUCGAAACAGAAUAUUCCGUCGAUUCAACAGAUUAAGCAAGUAGAACUCACCAGAGAGCGAAAGCGCUUCCGUCUUUAGCGCGACGUAAGGUAGUAGAAGUGUUGCUGCUAGUCUCGGCUUCGACUCUCUUCCUCUGCUUUGGUGCGUUUGAAGUUGUCGAUGGUCCAGCCAUUUCUUCCUUUUUCUCGGUUAAGAUCGAAAAUAUCUGUGAAUAUUUUUCGUGUUCGAGAAUUCGAUUCGAUGAGAAACGUUUGAGAGACUCGGUGGAGAAGAAAAGGGAGGAAAAUGAGAGGGAAACGAAACUUGUUUUCUCAGUUAUGGCGCCAAUCUGAUCCCGCGAUACUGUGUUUUUAGGCUUUGACACGGAUUGUUGACGUGGCGUUCUAAUCCACCGUUGGUAUUGUAUAAAGCGAAUAAACGGUCUAGAUCUGGAUAUGAUGUUCGCGUCCCAUUUAUUCGCGGUUUUUCUUUGUUUAGAUGGGCUUUAGGUUUUGAGGCCCAUUAUAGGCUUAAAUAUUAUUAUAACCAAAAUUAAUCCGGCCCGAUAUAAAUAUUUUUCCACAUAAUUAGAAAAUGAUUGAUUUAAAGUAAAGAAUAGUAAAAAGUUGAUAACGGUAAAAGUGAAAAAAGGCUAUAAGGAAGAUAGAGAUAGGCAUGUGGGUGUGGUGCAGAGAGGUGAGAAGACUUUUGAAGGGUUUUAGGGUGAUGGGAAGGUGAAAUAUAAGCAGUUCUCUCGCUUACUGUGCCACCACCACCACCAACGUCAGAGAAUCUCAGCUCCUAUACUCUUCUCUUCUCUCUCUUUCAAAUCUCUUUUUUUUUAACUCAUUUUCUAUACAUUUUUACAAAUUUCAGAGUAAUAGUAUUAUCUGAUUGUAGUUACGUCUAUAAUCCAAGUUAUGAUGGAUGGAUUUGGGGAAUAUCUAAUAGUUAAACUGUUUAAACUCUAUCUUCUUCUUCUUUGUUUUUUGGUGUUUUGUGUUGUUUGUCUUACUUAUACUAACUUUCACUCUCUCCAAUAUGAUAAUCAUUGGGAGAUUAUGGAAUAACUUUCUUACCUCCAGCAGAAUAUAAAUAAAUUUAACACAAUUUAAUACUAUCUUUUUUUGUUUUUUGUUCAACGCAUACAAUUUAAAAUCAUAAACACAUCUCUCCAUCAAAGAAGUAAAACGAUAGUUUGAUAUAUCUCAUACACUUAAACAUUAGCCUAAGAGAAGAUGAUGAUUAACUUAAACAAAAGUUGUUAAAUAGUAACCUAAUACAUAGAAGAAUAACAACAACCCAAGAAAGAUACAUAUUUCACAAAGUUGAUAAAAGAAACCAACAAGAGGACAUGCAUAAAUAUAGAAUGUUGUUCUUUUUUUUCUGUUAAAGAGAGUCGAAGUUAAGAGAAUAGCUGAGAGGAUCGUAGUUGAAACUGACGUGUCUCUUAUUCUUCUUGUGUAUUGGUGAUGAUCUCAUGUUCUUCUUCAUCUUCUUAAUCUCGGCUUUGAUUCUCCAUAAAAUGCUCUUUAUCAGCUUCUUCUUCUUCUUCCCUAGCUCCAUUACCAUUAUGCAUCCCAUUGCUUUUUUGGUCGAAAGUUAGAAUUGAGAGAGAUAGAGAGCAAAGGACUAGAGAGUGAAUAAAGUCAAAAUGUGGUUAUGCAAUAAAACUAAGGAGAAGGAAGAAGACUACUUAUAAAAAGAAAGCAGUA
rnacentral:lncRNA from 1 species